GACGAACGCUGGCGGCGUGCUUAACACAUGCAAGUCGAACGAUGAACUUGGAGCUUGCUCUGGGGGAUUAGUGGCGAACGGGUGAGUAACACGUGAGUAACCUGCCCUGGACUCUGGGAUAACUUCGAGAAAUCGGAGCUAAUACCGGAUAGGACCUUGCACCGCAUGGUGUGGGGUGGAAAGUUUUUCGGUUUGGGAUGGACUCGCGGCCUAUCAGCUUGUUGGUGAGGUAAUGGCUCACCAAGGCGUCGACGGGUAGCCGGCCUGAGAGGGUGACCGGCCACACUGGGACUGAGAAACGGCCCAGACUCCUGCGGGAGGCAGCAGUGGAGAAUAUUGCACAAUGGGCGCAAGCCUGAUGCAGCAACGCCGCGUGCGGGAUGACGGCCUUCGGGUUGUAAACCGCUUUUAGUAGGGAAGAAGCCGUCGGGUGACGGUACCUGCAGAAAAAGGACCGGCUAACUACGUGCCAGCAGCCGCAGUAAAAC
rnacentral:rRNA from 1 species